AAUCAGUCCAGGAAGCUGAAUCCUCACUUCCUUCAACCACUUGAUCGUGUGUGUGUGUGUGUGUGUGUGUGUGUGUGUGUGUGUGUGUGUGUGUGCAUGAGUGUGUGUAGGUAAGUAUUCCUAUGUGUGAGUACAGAUUUGGGUGUGCAUGAGUGUGCAUGAGAAAGUGUACUUUGGUUAACUGUCCAUCUUGAUUUUUGAGUCUCUCACUUAUACCUGGAACUCAUUGAUCCAGCAAGCCUGGAUGGCUAGUGACCUAUAAGCAGCCAUUCAUUUUCACUUCCCCAUGCAGAGAUUAUGAGCCUGUGACACCAUGCCAGGUUUUUAUGAUGUAGGUUCUAGGGGUUGAAAGCAUGUUCUCAUGUUUGUGUGGCCAGACUUUUCUCUACUUAGCCAUCUCUAUAGUCCCUGAACACAAAAACAGCCUUUGGAAAAUCACACACCCAAGAAGACAGACAGUUAUGGCUCCUCAGAGUAAGGAGAAGGAAGAGGGACUUUCUGUGCAGAGUCAGAUCCAGUCCUGCACAUUGCACAUCUCUCGUGGCUGUUUUUCAUGGUGUAUGUAGGCUUUGGGCAGAGAUGCAUUGUUUCACAGAGGCCACCACUGACCCAUACUUACACUCUUCUCGCUGGGUAUGUUCCGACAGCUCCUCUGCCAAAUGCUUUGGAAUUGAAGCCAAAGUCCCAGGCAUGCAUAUCACAUUAGAUUAGAUGCUCAUCCAGUAACUAGUCAUAUUUUUCUAGGAACUACUGCGAUCCACCAGGACUAGGGUACAGGAGUGGCAUCCAGCCUAGACUUUGAACUUCUUACCUCUACCCAUAGGAUUUGAAGAUGGAGAAUUUGGAGUUCCUUUCUACAAAGCAUCCUUCACAACGACAGCCAUUAAUUCCAUGUUGGUCUUGUCUCCAUGAGUGACAUUUUCUCCAAAACCACCAUUCUUUUUAGUCUUUCUAAUUCCACAACUCUCUGGUUUUCACGACAUGGAAAAAGUUCUAGAAUGUUUUGAACUAUUUACUCUAUUCAGUUCUUUACAUCUUCAAACAGUGUUGCUACGGGGCUGCAGCACACUCAGGAGCUGUGAAGCAAAGGUGAUUCUCCUUACCCAGGAAGGGUCAGCAUAGGUUUCCAGACAGCUUUAUUGAGAUGUUGUUGGACAUAAAUUGAUGUUUUCAAGAAGCAAAUAGAAUAUUCUGCAAUGCUCAGAAUUAAGGAGUUCAACGCGAUCAGAUGGAGCUUUGUCAGACUGAAGCAUCGGAGUUAACUUAUACCAUACAAGUGAAUGUCUAAGUGCUGCCGUCUCCCUAGCUAAUCAAUGAAGAUUAAUAUUCUAUGGGAAACUGAUUUUGUAGAUGAGGUUCAGCCACACUAUUUCCCCUACCAAUUUUUUCCUCCUGGUAAAUAAAUCAUCUUUAUUAUGCUGUAUGAA